UUUUUUUAGACAAGGAAACUGGACUACAGGAAGAUUCAUUUGCCUACAGCUACAGGGUAAGGAAAUGUGGGAGGCAGAAAUGUGGGAGGUAUUUCUCAUUAUUGGUGCCCACACUAUCUUUGGAGAAGAGUGCAAACUCGAACUAGAUACUAAAAUUGCCACUAAACAUUCAAAAAUGGUAUUAAAAAAAAAGCACACUACUCUUUUGGGGCUUCAUCUGUGCUUCAGUUGUUUAUUUGAACGAGCACAUAGGAAAUGUGCUAGACACGGGGAGUAUCAAAAUGAACAUUGUUUAUACUAUCAUAUUACACUGUUUAUAUAUUAUGAUUGUAAUUCUUACAUCCAAAGUUUUAUAGCAAAAUAAGAGUAUGACAGGAAUAUGAAUAGCUAUAAAACAAGCCAAGUUGAUUAAAUAUAAAACAUAAAAAAUUGUGAGAAUGUAGAGAAAAUGCCCACCUAAAGUGGGAUUAGCAAAAGCUUCAUGGCAAGGCUAUUAUUUGAGCCAGGUCUACAGGAGUAGCCAAAAUUUAGAUAAAGUUGAAGCCUGCCCCUCAGUAUGUAGGAACAGUGUGAACAAAGGCAUAUUCACAAGAUACCAAAUCAUCCAGUUUGAAUGGAGCAAAGGCUGUGGUAAACAAGUGGAAGUGGAGAUAAAACUGGAAAAUGAGAGUGAAGUCAGAUAGUACAGUAUAAUAAACAACUGCCUUGGGAUCCCUGGGUGGCACAGCGGUUUGGCGCCUGCCUUUGGCCCAGGGCGUGAUCCCGGAGACCCGGGAUCGAAUCCCACAUCGGGCUCCCGGUGCAUGGAGCCUGCUUCUCCCUCUGCCUGUGUCUCUGCCUCCCUCUCUCUCUCUCUGUAACUAUCAUAAAUAAAUAAAAAAUAAAAAAAAAUUAUUUAAAAAAAAAAAUAAACAACUGCCUUGCUAAGGAAUACAGACUUUAUUCAAAAAGCAAAAAAGCUUGUAGCAGGGAAGAUACAUAAUCAAAGUUAGAUUUUAGGAAGAUUAAUCUGACAGUGAUUGGAGAGUGGACAGAGGGGACAAAAGCCAGUUAAAGGCUUAGGGAAGCAAGAAAAGCAGAAAAGUAGUGAUAUUACUGGGAAUGAAGAGGGGAUUGAUGAAAAGAUAUUAUAAGAAAUAACUGGACUCUAAGGGAAGAAUGAAGAAGGAAGAAAGGAGAAAAGGGGUAAGAGAUGACCCUGUGUUUCAGGAUAUAUAGCAAUGUCUUUAGUGACACUUGUGCAAGACAAGAGGAGUACAGUUAAGAGCAGAGAUGCUACAUUUAAGACAUUGAGGGGAAAAAAGACUGAUUCUGAUGGAGCCGAUGAGAGAUCCAAAUAGGAAUUCACAUUCAUUCAGUAUAUGAGCAUUUACUGACUGCCUAUUACAUGGAGAACCCUUCCAUAAAUACUUGGGAUGUAUCACAAUCACUACAGAAGAGUUAUUUUUUGUUCCUCUUUCCUGUUUAAAAGAUCAUAAUAAAGGGUCAUAUUCAGGGGGCGCCUGGGUGGCUCAAUCAGUUAAGUAUCUGCUGUCAGCUCAGGUCAUGAUCCCAGGGUCCUAGGAUCCAGCCCCACAUCAGGCUUCCUGCUCAGUGGGGAGCCUGCUUCUCCCUCUCCCUCUGCCUGCUGCUCCCCUGCUUCUGCUCCUGCGUGUGCUCUCUCUCACCAAAUAAGAUUUUUUAAAAAUAAAGUAUCAUAUUCAAAUCUAACUCCAUAUUUCCAAACCAACACAGUUUGAAAAGUCUCCUUCCUCUGAAUUUCUGUAAAUUUAACUGUCUGUACUAUUCACGAGGUGUUUAGCACUCAUUCCCCUAAUGUCAGGCUUUCAAUCAGAUCAUAAAAAAAGUAUAUUGAGGGGAAUGCCUGGGUGGCUCAGUGGUUGAGCAUCUGCCUUCGGCUCUGGUACUGAUCCCAGGAUCCAGGGAUAGAGUUCCGUAAAGGGCUCCCCGCAGGGUGCCUGCUUCUCCCUCUGCCUGUGUCUCUGCCUCUCUCUGUGUCUCUCAUGAAUAAAUAUAUAUAUAAUAUAUAUUAUGAAUAAAUAUAUAUUAUAUAUAUAUAAAGUAUAUUGAAAACAGGCAUCAUUUUAGAUAUUCCUUGAAUCUCCCACAGUACCUCAUUCAUAGCAGGAAUUCACUAAUGCUUUGUUAGACCAAGGGAUUACUUUUUCCUUUCAUGUUCUAUGAUAAGGAUACAACUUUCCUUAGCCUUGUAGAACAGAAAGGAAUAGUAACCUUUCACAUCCAGAACUCAUGACCACUGUAAAAGAAGCCACAGAAGCUAAGUUGGUCUUGGACCGUGAAAAAGAGCUGAACAAUGGCAAGAGCUGAGAAACUAGUAUACCACUUUUGACAGCAAUUGGUUUACAAACAAGAAGAGGCAACACAGAAAUUUUAGCAAAGGAGUACCCAAACAAAUCCAAAGCAGGAACUUAGACAUCCAAUAAUAGCACCUCUAUGUUAACUAUUUUUAGAAACAUUCUGAAAGUCACCUAAAUCCCUACAGAUAUUAAAAUAAAAUUCAUAGUUCUAAUUAUUCUCUCUAGGAAGUUUGCUUUUUCAGGUAUUCUACAGUUGACUAUUCCAACUGAUAUAAGUAUGAAAGGUAUAUAUAAUUUUAGAAACAGGAGUAUGAAAUGUACAUGAUAACCGUAACAUCCUACAGUAUAUGUAAGAAUUAGCCAACAUCAUUAUCAGUGCCAAGAAUGCUGAUGCACAAGUUAUCAAAAUGGCCAAAGUGAAAUUUCCUUCUAGAAGCAGAAGAAACAGACCUCACUCCUCCUGGACAUGUUCCGAUCAUUACAAAUCCAAAAGCCUAUGUUGUGGCUCCUACAAUGCCAAAAUCUGUGUCCAGAGAAAUCCAUAAAAUGGCAUAAGAAAAAUAUUGUGCAACUGCCCCAAGAAUUAUUGGCAAAGGUCUCUUUCAUACUAUUUGAAACACCUGCAACCCAAUAUAGCAACUAAAUGUAUGUUGGUAGAAUAAGCAUCUAGAAUUUCAGUCAAUAUGCAUUGAUGCCUUGAAAAGACUGUCUUUUCUUUGUUUAAGCACUUUAACAUUAUUUCUUGAAUCUUGCCUACC
rnacentral:lncRNA from 1 species